GCAGUCAAGGUAGUCAAACUAAAUUAAUUAGAAACCUAAUUGGCAAAAUGAAGCAACUUCUAUUUGAACAAUAACUUGAACAGAAGUGUAAAUUUAUAAUAAUUUAUUCAAAUACUAGUUUAUUUAUCACCAACAAAUAUAAAUUUUGUGGAAUUUUUACUCUCUGUUUUGGCCUUCUAAAAAUUCAAACCAACUUUCAGCCUAACCAAUUUCAUCUUUUCACCAGAAUUAAAAUAUUUCGAAUUUUUUAGUGAAACUUUGAAAAAUGAAAACUAGGUGUCUAGGUCUAUCUCCACACAAAAGGAUAAAAUUCUAUCACUAUUAUUUCUUGAGCUAACUGAGUGUCAUGGUGGAAGAGGUGUAAAAUUGCUGAAAAUUCCUGAAAUCUACCCAAAUUCUUGUUCCACCUCUAUUCCCGUCCUUACCUCUUAGACCACCACGACUUGGGCCCACUUGUCACAGACCUUGGGUGCCUCUUUAUCCCAGAACCCACCCUUGGGUGUUCACCCCACCUCAGGACAUAAGGUGGGCAGAGAAAAAAACCCCUUCUUCCUCCCCUUUCCCUUCCCUUGCUUGUUCUUUGUUUUCCUCCUCAAGCUGAGCUCCCAGCUCACUUCUCCUCCCCAAAUCCUAUCUAAGAACCCAAACUCAAGCUCUGUAUGUUAGACCACAAUAAUCCCCAUCAUCCAAGCUUUCCAUCCAUCCCAACAUCUUGCACAUGCAUGAAGAGUUGAGAGAGAUCAAGAAGGAAUAAAAUAGUGGUGGUUUCAGCCUGCAGGGCUACAGCAGCAGCAUUUUGUUUUCCUCCAUUUGGUAGAAGGUGGCUACAACUCACCCCGAGUUCAUCUCUUUUGAUUUCGGUUGAAGCAGCCCUAGGCAACGUCUCUUGCCGUCAGCCCAAGACCUUGCUCCAUCUCUUGCCAUUAGCCCGAGGCCUUAGCCUCGCAUGACCCUACGUCCAGGUUGCUGCGAUGUGAGCGAAGUCCGGUGGAAGUUGGAGAAAAGGGGAGUGAAAAUAGAAAUCGAUUUCUGAGAUAGCUUUUGAGCUGAAAGAGAUUCGGAGAUUCCGGAGAGUAACGAGCCAUAUCCCGAGGAGGAUAGUGACUAUCCUCAGCAGCAAGG